UAUUCAACAGUAAGUUUUUUCGAAUUGAUUCGUGUACAUAUAUUAGCUUCACUCCUCAUCCUCAAGUGAUCAAGUGUCGAAUCAACGCAGUUGGUUGAGUGAUGACAACUCGAGUUCGAGAGAAAAGUUCUCAUGAAAACGCGCCGCGGGUUUAUGUCAGAGAAAAAUAUUUCAGUCGCCGUUUUUCGUCAAAGCUGUUUCUCGAUGUAUGCAAAGUUGAAUGAAGGAAAACAAAGUAACGAGGCAGCCCUUGGCAUCGUUUGCAACGAGCGUAACAGGAUAAACAACAUUCCCCACUUAUGGGUCUUCCACUUUGUCCUUUCCGUAUAUUUGUCUAUAUAUAAUCGACGUGGCUUCUCGCAAUGGACAAUGGUCAAAGCGUACCGACACGAUCGUUCCCAUCGAGGUCGUGGCCUCGGAUUACCUUACGAAGUUCUUCGGUUACGGUACUAUGAAAAUUGGACGAAUUAUGAUAAGGAAGUACUAGCCGAUGAGACAAAUCAAAAACUCUGUACGACGCCAAAAGCAAGACCUGAAGUGACUGAACGUGCUGUACGAGAGCCUCUAACGUGCUGGUCGCAAGAUCCAAAUGUAGUAUUAAUGCAGCUUGUCUAUCACCUGCCAGAGCCUCUUCUACCUGACAAAGAAAAGAUGUCAAAAGAGUUUUAUUCCAAAACAUUAUUUUCACACGAUAAAACAACAAGACGACGGUUUUCAGGCUCGAAUUGAACGCAAACCCAAUGAGGAAGUCAAAAUAAUGUUUUAAACAUGAAAGUUUUUUUUUUUUUAAGUAAAUAAAACAAAAUACGAUAAAAAGAGAAUAAAAAUGUGAGAAAUAAAAAAAUCCCCUUAACUUCUAAUACCUGAGUACCGAUCAAUUGUAAUUCCAAGGACUCGCGUAUCCUCUGCGUCUUGAUUCUCGUUUCGCUAGAUUUCUAAUAUAAAACAAACUGUUGAAUGUGAAAUUUUCCUCUGUACCAGAAUCGUUCAUUCAAAUGAGAGUAAAAAACUUUGUGCCUUUUUAUCGGAGGUACGAAGUUUUUUGUCGCCGUAGCAUCGACACGUGCAGCACGUGUCGAAGUAGCUCGAAGCGGAGCGACGAAUGUCAAGCAUCGGUGACGAAGGAGGAGAACGUCGACUCGACGAAAUUUCCUCAUCCGACGUGAGCCUCAGAAAUGUGCGACGUUUUCGCAAAACCGGCUCACUCCAGCGUGAGUAAUAAUUUUCUUUCUUCAACGUCUUCGACAUUUUCAUCAAAUAUUUCGAUCUUCCGAUUAUUGUUCUUCAUUGACGUCUCUGCAAACUGGAACGCGAAUUUCUUUUGGAAUUGAGAAAUUCGUUUUUUUGAAUAUUUUGACCUUUGGAUGUACCUCAAAAAGGUGCAAAUUUUCUCAAGCUCUGUGACGAGAAUUUGUCGAAUGCAAAGGAUAAUAGCGUUUACAAACCACUAUCUAUUUAUUAUAUAUAAUUGUUAUAUAGAAAUUCAAUCGAGACAGGCAAUUAAAAGUGACAGACACAUGAUGAUAUUAAUUAAUUAAUAAGUAUACAUAUAUACGCGUAACUAUUAUAUAUAUACAUAUAUUUAAACAUUAAUAUAUGUAUAUAUAUCAAGUUAUUUUUGUUCUCGCUUAUAUUAAGGUUAUAGAGAUAUGACUUAUGGCUGAAGUAAAAUUAAACAACAUGACAUAAAAAUGACAAAUGACAUAACAAUGGAUUGCCCCAUUGAGACACUGCACGAACAGAGUUCCAAGAUUUUCGUAUAUUUCCCAAGCAUGGGCAUGCUCCUCGCUAGGAACGUGUUUGUUUCUUCUUUCCAAUAUUAAGUAAUAAUAUGCGUUUCGAAUGCAAACUCGUUUGUACGUAUAGCGUGAUAGCGGAAUAUUCCUGGAAGACACGUCAUCAGUCAUUUGUUCUCGUGUCCAGAAAAAUUCAGCACAGAGACCCAUCCCCCGCCGACCGUGUCGAACGUGUACUCUGGCUUGAUAAGUUAUGGCUGUAAAUGACAUUUUUGCAAAAAUGUGAAACGAAUAAAGAGGGUGAAAUUCACGUAUCGUUAGUUUCAUCAUGACUAGAUCAUCAGCACUCUCUGAAUUUUUAUCGAUCGCUUUUUAGUGAUAUUUUAAUGCAAUUGAUUUACAAUACUAAUUGAAUUUUGAUUAGUAUGUUUUCGAAUAGCUCACUUUUUAUUGCUCGGACAAACUUCGUACCAUUUGGAUGAAUAAAUACUGGUAAGCGAAUGAAUCGUUUAUGGAAAUAAUUAAUAUCGAAUCGGACUGUAUUAUUACAAUGAGAUAAAUGCAUUUUUCUCAAUAAUCGCUCUUUCUCUCUCUCUCUCUCACUACGAAAAUCUCACUACGAAAAUAGCAACUUUUUCCACUCAGAGUAUAGGUAAUGUGUAUGUAUGUGUUGUCUCGUAAAAAGGAAUGUAUGCAUGUAUUCCGUCUGGAAAAUAAGCGAUCAUUGUACCGAUUGAAUAUCAAGAGUAUCGCUGAGAAAAAAUCUUCUUCACUCUCGGCUAGAGAACACGAAUGUCGUUGUUCUAGGGGAGGGCCUCCCAUGCAAGUGUCAGAAUGGAACAAACCUUCAACUAUAAACAUAUAUCUUGGGGGAAAAAAACGCGAACAAUCCAUCUACUUUAAAUUUGUUUGUCUCAGAUCCAAGUAAAUAAAAUAACGAGACUCGCUAGUCUACGCCGAAAGCUCAUCAUAUCAAAUCAAAUCCACUUUUUUACUUUUCAAUUCGACGUUAUUUGAAUUUAUCGUAAACGUUAUUAGUAUUACUGUUGUUGUUAUUGUUAUUGUUAUUAUUAUUAUUACGAUUAUUAUUAUUAUUAUUAUUAUUAUUAUUAUUAUUAUUAUUAUUAUUAUUAUUAUUAUUAUUAUUGCCUAAGUCAUUAAUAUUAUCGUUAAACUUUGUUGUCCUUUCUGGUCCAAUGUGACCGGCCAUUUUUAUCGAUCGAAUCGUUCAUCGAUUUAUGAUGAACGAACAAACAAAAAAUUGGUGUUAUUUCGUUCAACAUUCGUCAGUCGCACACGUAUUUUUCGACAUUCCCGUAAUCGACGUUACGGCAAAACCAACAAUCCUCGUUCCGAUUAUUCUUUAAUUACAUACAUCGCAUAUAAUUUAUUCCGAAGCCUUUACGUUUUUCAAAAAAAUAUAUAUUCGUAUAUGUAUAUAUUUGUAUAAAUACAAAUAAAAAUUCAAUCUAUUUUCCUUA
rnacentral:lncRNA from 1 species